rnacentral:rRNA from 1 species
CCCUUAGAUGUCCUGGGCCGCACGCGUGCUACAAUGACUCACUCAGAAAGUUUUUCCUGAUCCGGAAGGAUUCGGGUAAUCUUCAUAGCAUGAGUCGUGUUAGGGAUCGAUCUUUGCAAUUAUAGAUCUUGAACGAGGAAUGCCUAGUAAGUGCAGCUCAUCAGGCUGUACUGAUUACGUCCCUGCCCUUUGUACACACCGCCCGUCGCUCCUACCGAUUGAGUGGUCCGGUGAACCUUCUGGAUUAAGCAGCAAUGCUUGAGAAGUUAGGUAAACCUUAUCACUUAGAGGAAGGAGAAGUCGUAACA